rnacentral:rRNA from 1 species
GAUGAACGCUGGCGGCGUGCCUAAUACAUGCAAGUCGAGCGAACAGACGAGGAGCUUGCUCCUCUGACGUUAGCGGCGGACGGGUGAGUAACACGUGGAUCACCUACCUAUAAUACUGGGAUCACUUCGGGAAACCGGAGCUAACACCGGAUAAUAUAUUGAACCGCAUGGUUCAAUAGUGAAAGACGGUUUUGCUGGCACUUAUAGAGGGAUCCGCGCCGUAUUAGCUAGUUGGUAAGGUAACAGCUUACCAGGGCAACUAGGCGUAGCCGACCGGAGUGGGGGAUAGGCCGCCUGGGAGGUGGGCCGGCCUCCAGGCUCCUGCGGGAGGCAGCAGUAGGGAAUGUUACGCAGUGGGCGGAAGCCUUGCGGAGCGGCGCCACGUGAGAGACGACGGUCUUCGGAUCGUAAUACUGUGUUAUUGGUGGAGAACAGAUGUGUACGUAACUAUGCACGUCUUGACGGUACCUGAUAAGAAAGCACCGGCUAACUACGUG